UUUCUGAUGUCCUUUACAGAGUAUAAUAGCCAUGCUCUUUGGUCUGGCCGACUGGCACAGUCAGUCUCCAAGCAGUCGCACGCUGCUGGUUUGGAGGUAGCUCUGUGUUGGUGUUAGAAUCAUGGAAUGGCCUGGGUUGAGAAGGACCUCAAAGAUCGUCCAGUUCCAACCCCCUGCUAUGUGCAGGGUCACCAACCGACGGACCAGGCUGCCCAGAGCCUUGUCUUGAAUAAGAUUGUUUUUAGGAGAACAAAAACUUUGGAUCACCUUUCAAAUACAGAGAAAAAAAUAACGCUGUAUUAUUUUUUUGUUUUAUUUUCCUGUUGUUAUUAUCAGGUAAAGAGACAGACAUAUCACAUCUCAGAAAUGGCUUUACUUCAGUGGCCUUAAAUGGUCCCUCUGUGAUCAUUAUUUUCUUAUUGAAUCGCUGUCAGACACAGCUGGUGGAUUUUUGUACAGUGCAGUUUGGAGUUCCUGGCUAAAAUGAACCACAUGAAUACAGAUUACGGAUAUUCUUAUCUCAGCACACUUUUGAGAUGGAGCAUUCAAAUUACAAGACCUUCAGUCUGCUGUUUUAAUCUGACCCAGAAGGAAAACUUCACUACAGUUCGUUUCCUUGAUUCCCGUGCAAUUUUAUUUUGGAACUGAAGCUCAAUCGAAUUUAAACAACUUUUUUGAAAGUCUGUAAUGAAAGUUGCAUUUUUGCUUACACGUAGCCGCUUUGACCCACGGUGAAUGGAAGUCAUAAAGCAGGGUAUAAAGGGAGUUUCUAAAUUGCCUGUUGUUGAGUCCAUUGAAGGCAACAGGAGAGUCCAGAAUGUGACCUUUGAGAGCAAAUUUGCCUCUGCUUCUUACUGAAUUUUGUGUUGCGUUUUUCUGUAUAUAUAUUUCUUUUGACUCAGAAAUACAAAUUAUAAUGAAGGUGAGGCACUUCACAAUACAUUUGGCUUCAGCAUUGCUGAAUAUACAUUUGUAUAUGUAUAUAUAUUAUAUAUAUAUUGUACAGCAAAACAUUUCAGAAUCUGCAGAACGUUGCUAAUAACUGCAGUGGAACAGGGAGGAAUAGUGAAAACAGAUUUCUGCUUUGAAUGCUUUCAAAUUUAAUAAUUAAUGCAUUUUAUUUUUACUUGUAUAGGAUUAUCAUGAACUCUAGAUAGGUAGUUACAUUUGAAAAUGCUAAGUGAGAUAGCAAAACUGGAUCAUAAACACAGGAAACAGAUUCUGCAUUCAUUUUCUUGCAUUUCUGUCCUGCUGGCAUGCUCUUUGUACUUUCUACCAUUUCAGAAUCACAGGAGCUAAAAUAGUCUGAAAAAGAAGAGUCCAAAUCCUUGCCUUUGGAAGGCCCAGCUCGUUACCCAACUCCUGAGCAAAGAAAAAGAAGAAUAAAGGCUUCAGUCACCACACAUACUCACACUGGGAG
rnacentral:lncRNA from 1 species